GAGUUUGAUCCUGGCUCAGAUUGAACGCUGGCGGCAGGCCUAACACAUGCAAGUCGAGCGGUAGAGAGAAGCUUGCUUCUCUUGAGAGCGGCGGACGGGUGAGUAAUGCCUAGGAAUCUGCCUGGUAGUGGGGGAUAACGCUCGGAAACGGACGCUAAUACCGCAUACGUCCUACGGGAGAAAGCAGGGGACCUUCGGGCCUUGCGCUAUCAGAUGAGCCUAGGUCGGAUUAGCUAGUUGGUGAGGUAAUGGCUCACCAAGGCGACGAUCCGUAACUGGUCUGAGAGGAUGAUCAGUCACACUGGAACUGAGACACGGUCCAGACUCCUAUGGGAGGCAGCAGUGGGGAAUAUUGGACAAUGGGCGAAAGCCUGAUCCAGCCAUGCCGCGUGUGUGAAGAAGGUCUUCGGAUUGUAAAGCACUUUAAGUUGGGAGAAGGGCAGUAAAUUAAUACUUUAGCUGUUUUGACGUUACCGACAGAAUAAGCACCGGCUAACUCU
rnacentral:rRNA from 1 species